rnacentral:tRNA from 1 species
ACCUGGGUGGCUCAGUCAGUCAAGCACCUGACUUCAGCUCAGGUCAUAGUCUCACGGUUCGUGGGUUCAAGCCCCACAUCGGGCU